rnacentral:snRNA from 1 species
GCGUGUGAGAGCGAUCUGGCUGGGACAUCUCUCACCCCAUUGAUCGCCAGGGUUGAUUCAGCCGGUCUGGCUGGGUAGGUAGGUGUCCCCAUCCUCCCUCAUCGCUCCAUGUAUGUCCCUCCUGAAGCUGCAGCUGUGUGCUUGGUUGAAGAGGAUGACCACCCUGACAGAGGAGGACCAGCUCCUCAGUGGAGGGUAUACGAGUAGUUGCACUCUCCUGCUAGAACCUCCAAAGAAGUUUUCAAGAAAAGAACCCUGGCAUUAUCCAGGUUUAGUGAAUUAUGUCUGUAAAUCCCAGCAUUUCAGAGGCUGAGGCAGGAGGAUCACUGUGAGUUUGGGGCCAGCCUGAACUACAUAGUGAGACCCUCUCU